GUGCUCGCUUUGGCAGCACGUAUGCUAAAAUUCGAACGAUACAGAGAAGAUUAGCACGGCCCCUGUGCAAGGAUGCCACUCAAAUUCUUGAAACAUUCCAUCAAAAA
rnacentral:snRNA from 1 species